ensembl:lncRNA
CACAGAGGUACACAAAGGCCACAUUUCAACAAUCAAGGAAGCUCAACAUUCAGCUCAUCCAGUGCAAUGGUAAUGACACAUACACUUACCCCUUUUAUUUUGUGUCUGCUUAAAUAUUUCAUUUCCUCUUUAUUCUUAGGAUGAUCAAGAUUUUAAGGCUUUAGAAUUUUCAGUUUCUCAAACCAAAGAGACUCUCACUACUGCAAAAGGAAAUGGGUAUAACUGUUAUGAGUGUCACAUUACCCAUGAUGAGGAACUGGAGACAGACCUUAAGAAUACCAAGCUGGUUUUGUACCCAAAGGCUCUCAUUGUCUCAUUUCUAAAAGAGUAGGUGUACAGUAGAAAUGAUAGGAUGGAAUAAUGCUUUGGUUGUUCACAGUGAUGUCUACCUCAUGUUCUUCCACUAUUUAUUGAUAUUACAAGAAAACAGCAUACUUAUAUAAUUAACAAAAUGAGAGCCACAAGCAUAAGUGAUGAAAUUUGAAUCGGAAAUGAAAAUUGUGCAAUAAAAAAAAACUCCAUGUUCUCUUUUUUAUAAUUUACUUCUGCUUGCAGUUAUUUCGGUUUAUAUAUAAAAGUAAACAGAAAGAACUGCAAGCAUAUAUAUAUAUAUAUAUAUAUAUAUAUAUAUAUAUAUAUAUAGUACCUGUAAAAGUGGGUAACAUAACAAAAGAAAUUAACAUAAAAAAAAAAACUCUGUUGUGUUGCUCCAUCAAAGUGUAAGACAAAAAAUUUUUAGCCAUCUGGAAGAGAGGGUUCAUAUUACUCUAACCAACACUGUGACUGUUGUGGAAGCCAAAAAAGAGAAACUGAAAGCUGAGCUGGAACUUCGCCUGCAGCUCCAUGAACCUCGUGCUGCAAGAAUACAGAUGGACAUUCACAAUGUCAGAGCAGCUGAACUAGUGCUACAUCGAGAACACAUGGAUCGACACUGCAAGGGUAUACUGGGUGUCCUAGAAGACUGCCGAACAGAAGUACAGGAGUUACUGAUCCAGCAAAAUAAACUGACCGAAGACUUCCUAAGAUUUUACCUUUGCCACUAA